GACGAACGCUGGCGGCGUGCUUAACACAUGCAAGUCGAACGGUGACGAGGAGCUUGCUCCUCUGAUCAGUGGCGAACGGGUGAGUAACACGUGAGCAACCUGCCCCAGACUCUGGGAUAACAGUUGGAAACAGCUGCUAAUACCGGAUACGAGACGGAGAGGCAUCUCUACCGUCUGGAAAGUUUUUCGGCUGGGAUGGACUCGCGGCCUAUCAGCUAGUUGGUGAGGUAAUGGCUCACCAAGGCGACGACGGGUAGCCGGCCUGAGAGGGCGACCGGCCACACUGGGACUGAGACACGGCCCAGACUCCUACGGGAGGCAGCAGUGGGGAAUAUUGCACAAUGGGCGAAAGCCUGAUGCAGCGACGCCGCGUGAGGGAUGAAGGCCUUCGGUGUAACCUCUUUCAGCAGGGAAGAAGCGAAAGUAGACGGUACCUGCAGAA
rnacentral:rRNA from 1 species